rnacentral:lncRNA from 1 species
CUCAAUUGAAUCAAUUGCUUCGACCUACUUUCGAUUCAUAUUUCACCUCUUUGCCUCACGCCCUCUCCUCUCAGCUUGUCACUACGUCCUCUACUCUCUGACCGACAACCAACCUCUUCCCCAAUCUGAGUCCUCCUAUAAUCUCCAUUGCAGGCAAGUCAAGUGGUACUUUGUUUGUGAGUCUAUGACAACGCGCUAGCUCCGAUUGCUCCAUUCCAUUUCCAUAGACCGUAGGUCCGUAACUACCUCUGUCACUCCUUAGCCUCCUUAACCUUCAAGCAAUCGACGAUUCUUCUGACAUCCAGGCUCCAGCAAUCGACGGCAAGUGCAAAAGAAAGUGAAGCACCAAUUUCCAAAUUCCACCGACCCUGAUUUUGAAGAUAUUUUUUUUCCUUAUUUUUUGUUAUUUUAAUUUGUGUAUUAUUAUUAUUUUUUUAACAUAUGAAAUUAGCAACUUGUUCUUCAAUUGCUCAAAGCCACAUGUUGCUCUUCAAUUGAUUUUGGCAUUUUGCUACCAGUCAUCAAACAGUGAGAGUGAGAUGAACUUCCAGUUCAUUGUUGCCUCUUGAAUUAUGCGAUUGCAAGUUGCUUACUCUCAUACUCUGUCACUGGAAUUUGGAAAACAGUAUAUAUUGUUGCCUUGUGAAAUUGUGAAUUGCACUAUGAAUUGAUUAUAUGAAAUUGUGAAUUGGACCAUGAAUUGAUUAUAUGAAGUUGUGAAUUAGACUGUGA